UUUUUUAUUUUUGAAUGUUCGUUUAUGGUAAACUCUGUAAUUUACUGAGCAUUUGUGAACACCUCACAGUAUUUCCUGAGGUGCUGUGAAUGUAACCUCACAGUAACACUCCAGCAGAGGCACGGUGAAGGAGAAGAGGAGCAGGUUCACUUGAUUUUGCCAACUUGAAACAUUUUAAAGUAAAGUCAAA